GCCAGGUGCAGUGGCACACACCUGUAAUCCCAGCUGCUUGGGAGGCUGAGGCAGGAGGAUGCAAAUUCAAAGCCAGCCUUAGCAAUUUAGUGAGGUGCUAAGCAACUCAGCAAGACCCUGUCUCUA
rnacentral:sRNA from 1 species